CCCCGAGCCCCGAGCCCGAGCCCGGAGCUCGCCGGCGGCUGGCUUCGCUGCAGUGUGGGGGUGGAGAGGACCCCAAGCACCCAGAAGCCCAGGUUCCUGCCGGAGCUGCAGAUGGAAAGAUCAUUUACGAGAACCAUGCAAUUCAGGGCCUGCAAAAGAAAACAAGAUUUACUGAGAGCGCAGAGGAGGAAUAGAAUUUGAGACCAGGAGCAGAGGGGAAAAAGCAGGGCACUGAAGGUGAUUCAGGCAGCCUGGAAGUUCGGAGGCCCCAGGGAUGCCAGCGAUAAUGAAUCAGGACUGCCAGUGGAAAGGACGCGCUUGCAAUUCUGUCCUGAAUAGACGCAAACCUGAGCCAGCACGGGCGCACUGAACUUGCUUCUCUGCUGUAGGUCGAUUGCACUAAGAAUUUAACCAUUUUCUGCUUCAUGGACUUCAAACAGUAGGCCGGCAAAGAGCAGUAAAAGUUUGUUUGUUUAAAAAACCCCUGUCAUUAAAAAUGAGUUCCUUCUCUGG